GCAUUGGUGUAGACUGCAAGAACAAGCCCUCCAAGCUUGGGGCCCGGGUUCGAUUCCCGGCAGGCGCACCA
rnacentral:tRNA from 1 species